UGUUAAAGCAAGAAGUUUCUCAGGAAGGCUUUCAGUGCAAGUCUGAAGUAGGUUACUGAGGAGAUGUCAUGCCUAUGGGAGGCAGCAGCUGAGUGGCAGUAGCUCCUUCCUGAUCCCCUCUGUAGAGUUGGGAGAGGAGUUGGCCAUGGAGGAUUCUUGGGCUGGUGCUGUGGCUAUAUUUGCUGUACCACUGUUGCCUGCCUUUGUCAUGUGCCUCCCUGGACAGGAGAGAAGGAGACAUCUUCUCUAGAAGUAAUUCCUCUCCAUCUGUCCCCUUUUCUCUGGCUCUCUUCUCUAAUACAAAUUUUAGUAAGGUUAAAUUUGGGUAAAGGGUUUCUGAUCCUAAGACUGAACCCUGAUGGGGUCCACAAUGUGGUCCUGCUACUUGUAGCUUAAAAAGUAAGUUCGAAUUGCUACUUUACAGUGUAAUCCCAUGAAAACAUUCCAGGUUGUGAAAGUUCAAGAGGUAUGGUAGCAAAGGAAGCAGCUGCUACUGCAAAUAUUCCUCUGCUGCUUACCUAUGAAAUAAGGAGAUAUCAUGUUAAAGCUCAAAUGAGCAGUUCUUAAAUGUUUCUGCUACUUCAGUCUUUUCUGGUUGUUUUGCAAACUUGAGUUACUCCUCACUUUUCUGCCUCCUCUUCACUCAGCCUUGAAAGUGAUUUUUUUUUUUUUUACUCUAAAUAAGCAUUUGAGUUCAUCACACAGAAAGCAGUCCUACUCAAAUCUGGCAUGACCCAUGUACAUUACCUUAAACAUUGGCCUCGAGUUCAUCAGUUCAGUCAAAGUUGAAGAAGUUUAUUCCCAUUCCAUCUGUGUUCACUGUUGUUGUCUGCUUACUUGUGAAUUACUGUGUCUCUCCUGCCAUGUGGCUGUACCCACCAUGGUGCCCGGCCAUCUCACUAGCUGUUGGGAACAAACCCUUUUUGUCACUCCUAAUCUCAGUGAAAUGAAACCCAGGGAGAUGCUGAGGAACUGAUUAUUCCCAAAAGCUUUGCCUUUUUGAAGUUAAUGGGCUUAAAAGAUUCUGGCUUGCUGCUGCUUUAGAAAGAGUGUGCUGUAAAGAUCUGGGCUUCUUUUAAUUUUGUUGUAAGUAAAAUACCUUGGUGCUGAAGAGUAAAAAGGGCUUCAUUGUGUUUAUUAUGCUGCUUUACUAGGCCUGCAAGUACACCAAAUUCUUCUGUAAAUGCAAAAUCAUUGAACUGUAUCCAAGUUGCAUCAAAAGAUGCUGAUGAGAACAUUUGUUACCAGAACUUGCAGAGAACUGUAAUGGUGUUUGCCAUAAGGGUGUGUGUCCCAGUUCGGUUCUGUGACUGAAGGGGAGAAGUGCAACUGUUGUAUGUUUUUAAUGAUGGGUAAUAAAUUUGGGUAUCUGGCACAAUAUUUCCUGUUCUUUGGCUGCUUUUGCUAUUAUGUCACCCAGUUUUGUCCCCUUUGCAAAGAAAGUGAGUUAAAGACUAAUAGGUGUCCAUCCCUCUCGCCCCCCCAAAAAAGCCAACUUCACAAUGCUGCCUCAUCCCAAUAAUAACAAAAAAAAGCACAACCCAACAGAACUCAGCACCCGGGAUGUGCACUGACAAAAUGAGACCAGAUGCAGACAGGAAGGCACAUGGUACAAAUUCUGGCUUCUCACUAUGAAGAUUGCUGAAAGAAGAGAAAACGCGCUGUGAUUUAUUUUCACAGCAAAAAAACUGCAAGUGGAACAAGAAGUACAGAAAUCUCUGUUAAUACAGUUUAUACUUAGAACAGCGUGUCCUCCUUCACCACUACUCUUGGUUUAAACAUAACUAAAUUAAACUGGUCUACCAGCAGUGCUGCUUGAGCUGUGGUCUGAGCCCUUGCUAAAUGAACAUCUAACACUUAAUUUAAUGGUAAUCAUGCAGCUUCUUGAAAAAUAUGUUUUUCACUUAUUAUAUUUGUUUGGUAGUUAUCUCCAUGUGUAAUAAUAUCAAAUUACUAUGCUGUCUCUCAAAGUCCUAAAUCGUAUCAUUCUUGCACAGACCAGAAAAUUACUUGUACUUAACAAAGAUAUGUUUAUCUGUAUGUAUACGGUGGAUUUUAAAUUGAACAGUUCCAGACAUAAUUUUCCUAAUAUUGGUUAAUCCAUCUUUAAUUAAAAUGUUAAUUGCUAAUCCACAUAUUACACAUAGAAAAAUCAGCCUACAGUAAACUGUGACUUAUUUGCACAAGGACGAAAAAUGUGAAAUUACAUGGCAAUCUGCUCUUCAGAAUGGCAACAUGAACGUCUUUAUGAUAACCAACUAAAAAUAUGUUAAGAUGGCUUGAAUUGUUUCCCACCUAGAAAGGAGGGAGGUAACUUAGUGCUGGCUAAAAAUUCCCUCUUCAGACAAAGUAGGGCCUGAAAUACCUUUUUUAUUUCUAAUAUUUUUUUAGGGAAUUUGCCCAGAAUGGAUUACUGCAGUGCUGCAGCUGUACUUGUUUCUCAGCUAGAAUACUCUGCUGAAAUCCUGUCUUCUAUGUUUUUCAGAACAGAACUCCCUCUGUCCAAGGCUGCAUUUCAGAAGUCAGACCCAGACAAUCUUGCUUUCUAGCCAAGGGUUACAGAAGGUGCUUAGCUAGGUGGGGGUUAUGCUUGCUGUGGGUUGCUAAUGCCUUUUCUCACACUGUUUUUUUUUUUUUCAGAGCUGUUAUAUUCAAAUCAGACUCUUGAAAUCAUACAGGAUUGCAAUCCAAGUCAUAUUAAGAAAAGAGACUUGCCUAUAGAAUGCCAUCUGUUGAUUUUCUAUUUAAUUAGAGAAUUGGUUUUCAUAAAUCUGUCUCACUUACCCAAAGUAUAUACUUGUAGGUAGGCUUCUAAAAACAUCUGCACUUUUUCCUAAAUCCUGACAGGAGAAACAACCCCAAAAAAAUCCAACCAUGUACAAAUUUUGAAUACUGCUAAAUGCUGCUUAGCAAAAAGCAUGCCUACUAAUUCCACCAAUCUUCACAACGUGUUCCUAUUUGGGGUUUGUCUCAAUACCACUGGAAGGGUUUGAACUUUUGGAUUUCGGAUGUGCUUUUUUGAUAUUUUUUUAACCUGUUCAUUUUCCAUCAAAGGAGGUCACCUCUUCACCUUUCUUUUAAUCUUUCCUCCCAUUCAGACCCUGUAUUCCAGUGUUCUUUCCCACUUGUGAAAGUCACUUAAUCUCUGUUUGAACCUGUUCCUUCUCUGCUCCAGCAGCACGGCUUCUCUUAGCGGGUUCAUCCAAAUGGAUCAAGAGGAAGAUGCCUUUGACACUUCUGUACCAGGAGGAUGCAGAAGCUCCUUGGAUGAGAGCUAUGAAAGAGGUUAUUUUGGGAGCAGUAUGGAUUUGCAAGAGAACUGGUCGCUGCCACCAGGAGUGUCACCCUGCCUGCAUGGAAACUGCGUUCAUUUCAGUUCCUUACAAGGCCAGAACAAGAAUUUAAAAAUAAAUAUAUGUAAUAAAAAAAAUGAGCAAACUCGACUAAUUUUCAAGGUAGGGUGGUGAUUAUGAGCUGUGCCACUUGGUCAGGCAGAGCCGACCUGCUCUGGUGAGCCCACAGCUCCCUGGGAGCUCUCAUCUUUUCCUUUUCUGAGUCUUUAAAUAGUGACAGAAUGUUGUGCUCCCUGGUGCCGCUGAGCUGCCCUACCUCCUGGUAUCCUAAUGUUUGUGACCGGGCUGAAAACAGUUCUUCCCCAUGGUCUCUUAAUUUCUGGUCUGUGGGCUGCAGGCAAGUGGCUGGGGCUCUACAGCAAGCUCGUUGUGCCUGUGUUAUAUUACUUCCUCUUCUUAGCUAGGCAAAGUAGAUUAAGAAUUAUUUCUUCUUUGUCUUGUGCUGUAGGCUACGAAUAAAAGCUAUCGAAGACAAAUCUGCUAUUACAGGGAUUGUCUAUGGAAAAAAACGGGUUGAGUGACAAGGUCUGCGAUCACUGAGGGUGCAGAAACUAACGCACGCGUUAAACUGAUCUGCACGAGUGAUUCCCGAAGUCAUUAUGCAGUGCAUAAUCUUCUAAGUGAGGGGUUAUAUAACGAAUGCUUUCUAGGAAUUGUACAUUUUUCUCCUACAUUGCCUUUGCAAAUUUUUUAACCACCUCUUCCAAAGUGGAUCAAUUUUGUCCCAUAUAAACGUUGAGACUUCUUUUGUAUGUUGAGCCGGGGUGUAGGAACAGGGGUGUAAUUAGGAAUAGAAACAGCAGAUAAAUUGGGGUUUGUCCUCAGACAAAACGAAUUGUUGUGCUUCUAAUACCACCUCUUAUUUUAAAUGGGCAAAGCAUUAGGGAGGAGGACAGGGGUGAACUGAUGACAAAGCAGUUGGAGUAGAUGCUUAAGGAGAGUUAAGCCUUUUGUUAUGAGAUAGAAGAGAAGAAUAUGGGCACUCAGGAAGUGCUUAGUGGGCAAUAGGAGUCCUUAAGUUGAAGCAAAAAGAGGAUCGCAGUGAGGUGGUUCUGUGGAAGAAAAGAAUGAAUGGAAAGCGGGAGUUGUCCUUAAUAUCACUGGAGCGUUUUCUUUCUUUCCUUGUUCUACAUAAGCAGACUCUCUGGAUCUGCGAAGCUCUCACAUUUACCUUUCAGUAACUGUUCCUACAGUGUCAAUUUUUUCUUUUACUGAACUGCCUU